rnacentral:rRNA from 1 species
GACGAACGCUGGCGGCGUGCCUAAUACAUGCAAGUCGAACGAGAGCGACCGGUGCUUGCACUGGUCAAUCUAGUGGCGAACGGGUGAGUAACACGUGGGUAACCUGCCCAUCAGGGGGGGAUAACAUUCGGAAACGGAUGCUAAAACCGCAUAGGUUCUUGAGUCGCAUGACUUGGGAAGGAAAAGAGGCUUCGGCUUCUGCUGAUGGAUGGACCCGCGGUGCAUUAGCUAGUUGGUGAGGUAACGGCUCACCAAGGCCGUGAUGCAUAGCCGACCUGAGAGGGUGAUCGGCCACAUUGGGACUGAGACACGGCCCAAACUCCUACGGGAGGCAGCAGUAGGGAAUCUUCCGCAAUGGACGCAAGUCUGACGGAGCAACGCCGCGUGAGUGAAGAAGGAUUUCGGUUCGUAAAACUCUGUUGUUAGAGAAGAACAGCGCAUAGAGUAACUGUUAUGCGUGUGACGGUAUCUAACCAGAAAGCCACGGCUAACUACGUGCCAGCAGCCGCGGUAAUACGUAGGUGGCAAGCGUUGUCCGGAUUUAUUGGGCGUAAAGCGAGCGCAGGCGGUCAAUUAAGUCUGAUGUGAAAGCCCCCGGCUCAACCGGGGAGGGUCAUUGGAAACUGGUUGACUUGAGUGCAGAAGAGGAGAGUGGAAUUCCAUGUGUAGCGGUGAAAUGCGUAGAUAUAUGGAGGAACACCAGUGGCGAAGGCGACUCUCUGGUCUGUAACUGACGCUGAGGCUCGAAAGCGUGGGUAGCAAACAGG